rnacentral:rRNA from 1 species
GAUUAGAGUUUGAUCAUGGCUCAGAUUGAACGCUGGCGGCAUGCCUAACACAUGCAAGUCGAGCGGUAAGAAAGCACUUCGGUGUGAGUAGAGCGGCGGACGGGUGAGUAACGCGUAGGAAUCUGCCUAGUAGUGGGGGAUAACUUGUGGAAACGCAAGCUAAUACCGCAUACGCCCUACGGGGGAAAGAAGGCCUCUUCUUGAAAGCUUUCACUAUUAGAUGAGCCUGCGUUGGAUUAGCUAGUUGGUAGGGUAAAGGCCUACCAAGGCGACGAUCCGUAGCUGGUCUGAGAGGAUGAUCAGCCACACUGGGACUGAGACACGGCCCAGACUCCUACGGGAGGCAGCAGUGGGGAAUAUUGGACAAUGGGGGCAACCCUGAUCCAGCCAUGCCGCGUGUGUGAAGAAGGCCUUAGGGUUGUAAAGCACUUUCAGUAGGGAGGAAAAGUUAGUCGUUAAUAACGGCUAACCCUGACGUUACCUACAGAAGAAGCACCGGCAAACUCCGUGCCAGCAGCCGCGGUAAUACGGAGGGUGCGAGCGUUAAUCGGAAUUACUGGGCGUAAAGCGCGCGUAGGCGGUUAGUUAAGUUAGAUGUGAAAGCCCCGGGCUCAACCUGGGAACUGCAUUUAAAACUGGCUAACUAGAGUAUGGUAGAGGAGAGUGGAAUUUCAGGUGUAGCGGUGAAAUGCGUAGAUAUCUGAAGGAACACCAGUGGCGAAGGCGGCUCUCUGGACCAAUACUGACGCUGAGGUGCGAAAGCGUGGGUAGCAAACGGGAUUAGAUACCCCGGUAGUCCACGCCGUAAACGAUGUCAACACUAACUGUUGGGCGGGUUUCCGCUUAGUGGUGCAGCUAACGCAAUAAGUUGACCGCCUGGGGAGUACGGCCGCAAGGCUAAAACUCAAAUGAAUUGACGGGGGCCCGCACAAGCGGUGGAGCAUGUGGUUUAAUUCGAUGCAACGCGAAGAACCUUACCUGGUCUUGACAUCCUGUGAAUCCUGUAGAAAUAGUUUAGUGCCUUCGGGAACGCAGUGACAGGUGCUACAUGGCUGUCGUCAGCUCGUGUCGUGAGAUGUUGGGUUAAGUCCCAUAACGAGCGCAACCCUUGUCCUUAGUUGCCAGCGCGUAAUGGCGGGGACUCUAAGGAGACUGCCGGUGAUAAACCGGAGGAAGGUGGGGACGACGUCAAGUCAUCAUGGCCCUUAUGAGUAGGGCUACACACGUGCUACAAUGGUCGGUACAGAGGGUUGCCAAACCGCGAGGUGGAGCGAAUCCCUUAAAGCCGAUCGUAGUCCGGAUCGCAGUCUGCAACUCGACUGCGUGAAGUUGGAAUCGCUAGUAAUCGCGAAUCAGCCAUGUCGCGGUGAAUACGUUCCCGGGUCUUGUACACACCGCCCGUCACACCAUGGGAGUUGACUGCACCAGAAGUGGGUAGCCUAACCGCAAGGAGGGCGCUUACCACGGUGUGCUUCAUGACUGGGGUGAAGUCGUAACAAGGUAGCCGUAGGU